CGUCGAUAUUCAUUGAGAACUGAAUUUGCCAGGAUUGGUGAAGAAAACUCCAACCAAAUCAACACUUCAAUCAAACGUAUGUUCUGAUCGCUGCACCAAUAACCCGAUUCACCCGUUCGGUCGGAUUAUUUGCUGGAGGGUAAUUGGAAUUUUGCCAGUGGUUAACCAUCUUCAAGAAAGUAGCAAAAAGGUUGGAUUUGAACUGUGGGCCGCUCCGGAACCCCAAACAACAGGAACUUAGAGAAGUGAUCGGUGACGACUAGCAGCAUCGUG